CUGAUUUUAGCCCUCCAAAGAUCUAUUUUUAGAUCUGCCUUUUCUACCAGCGUUGCUCCUGGAGCCAUUGUCCCCCCGAGCUGGUGAAGCAGGUGGCAGCGGGCUGCAGGUAGGUUGGAAAUGCACCUGACCGUGCCCAGCUCCAAAGAGGUUUUAGUUCUCACAGCGUUAAGUGCCCCUGGCUGCCCCCGCUCCCCCCGCCUGCCACGAGCGCGACCCAGAUCACAUUAGAGUCCCAGAGCUCAGGGAGCCGGGCUCAUCUAUCCGUCACCAAGGAGGCACACAGCACGGGAAACAACAAGUCAUUUGUACCUGAUGAGGAGGACACUCCUGGGAAACAAACAGAUGAGCCACCACAUGAAUCUGAGCUAUUCUCUGAGGUUUUAUAAUCAGUAAAUGAGAAAGAUCCCAACUAUCAUCUGCCAAGCCCUGGGGCAGUGUGAAACAAAACAAGAAAGAUAUUAUUUUAGCAAUUGCUUCCCAUGUAAAUGCACAGAAAGGAGUUUUCAUUGAGUUUGUUGGAAAACAGCCUCUUCUGCUGAGAGGAAACCAAUGCAGGAAAGGAAAUGCACUAGAAGUUGGAUUUGUUAAUAGCUUUCUCUGGCCUGUUAUGAAACACUUCAAAUUUGGAAACAAUUUUCUCAGCACACCUGUUGAGGGGAGAAACAAGGCUCCUUCAACCAUCAAUCUGUGGGACCUCAGAGCUCAGCCUGAAAGCAAAGGCGAAACGAAAUACGAAAAUUGCAGUGCAGCAGAAGAGGAGUCAGCUGUCUGCGGGCCUCUGCUGAAAUCCCAUCUUUCGGCACUAAAACCUGAAACUUGGCUGAACUUGAGAUUCAUGAGAGCUCUCAGCUGCAGUUAUUCUGCUGUGCACUGCUCCUUCUUCUUCCACAGUGGAGGUGUCAAGACAACCAAUUUUCAGAAAUUAAGAUUACCAAUUCUGGUCCUAUAUAUGACUGGGGAGAAAAUGCAAAAUUCUGAAACGUCUGCAAGGUUAGAGAGCAGUUUUCCACUGAGCUCUCCUCAGAUGAGAUUGCAGAAAUUCUUCUGUUUUCUCCUUCCUGCUUGGCUGUGCCACCAGGCAAUUCUGUUCACACUGUUCUCCAAGACAAAAUCUGAGCCAGGCUGAGAUUUGUGCUGAUGUCUUCUUGGGCCAGUUCCCAGUGGCUGAAUCCGUGGAAGGCACCAUCUUCUACUGGUCCCUACUGUGGGCAUUGGCAGGUACAAACUUUGUUACAUCACUUUGUGUUAGUCUUUGUGUGCCUCAGUUUACUCCUCCCUUAAUCAGUUCUACACUGACUUUCCCACAGUGCUUUGAUUCUUGGGAGCUCUGAGAAAUUCUUUUACCUAUCCUCUCUCAGACAGUCAAACCAUUACUAAGUCAGACAGUUACCACAUUUCCCUUCUCAAAGAGAAGGUGAUAAUGAUUCCUUUGCUGGAUAAAGUAUAAAUGGAGAGCAAUUCUGCUAAGUGAUACUAUGAGAUGUAAUAGCACUGUAUGAGGUCAGAAUGUUCCCAUGUGAAUUACAAGCCCAAAAAACAGUGAGUCAAAAAGCUUGACUGGGUCAAGGAUCCCACUCCUGGGAGCAACAGAAGGAAGAAAUAGAAGUAGCACCUGGAAAAUGCUGCUCUCAUCAAGAGUGGCAUCCUCCCCUGUAAAUAUCUGCUAACUCUAAUAUUAAACAAAUCAAAAAUUAUUUAUUCUGUGGAAUCUGCUUCUUUUUUAUACAGAGACACUUGGAGAAAUUUCACAAUAAUUUUUAAAAGUAGCUCUUGUUCCACCAGGAAAUUGUAAUUUCUUUAGCCAAGAACACCUAGUCUGGAGUUUGAGGAGGGCUGGCAUUCUUUGCAACAGUGUGCAACAGCCCAAACAUCUUAACAUUCCCAGGCUGGAAGCAUCCCUGCUGUCAGCAAACCCCUUGGAGGCUCUGCUUGGCCCCCUGGCAGCAUGUGCUCCCAAAUCCAUGUGCCCUGGUGGGCUGCCAGGUCCCAGGGGCUGCAGGUACAGCCUGAAGAGAGAUUUUUCCAGGCAUCCUGCCUGAAGUGGAGAGUGCUCUUGUCUACAUGAGAAAUUCCCUUCCUCUGUGACAGCAGCACACACGAGUGCUCCCAUGCCCUAUUUGGAUCCCUUUAUACACACGUGCACCAAAAGGUGGGAGAAGACAACUGUGAGAGCAAAUGUUGAGCCAAAAAGGCAAAUUGCACUGCCCAAGUAAAUGAGGCAUCUCUGGCAGCCAGGAAAGGAUAUAAAAAUAUAAAUGUAAUCUCAUUAACAUACAUCCCUCAGGCUGUCCAGGCAAAUGAAGAUCCAGGGAAAGCAGCAAGCUGAGGAAAUGAGCUGGUUGUAGAAAACUCUGUGUGUUUGUGCAUGCACAUGAGAUGCUGUAUUUCUACCCAUUUAAAUGAUCAGCAUCAUGAACAUUUAAAACAAAACUGAUAAAGAGAAGCCAAACCCAAGGCUUCCAAUCUCUGUGUCUGCAUCCCAUCCUUCAAGGUGGCCACUGAGUAGUCACAUUCCUGAGUACAGGGGAAAUUUGAAGAGCUAAUUAUUUCCUCUGACUCAAAGGCAAAACAGAAAAGCAAAAACAAAACAAAGCCCACUCAUUUUUCUGAAGCUCCCUGUUUAAUUCUGCUUUUCACUUUGUGCAGUAUUUGCUUACCUCAUAAACUGUUUCUCAGGGUGACUCAGCUUAGGGCAUUGGAUGGUGUGAGCUUGAGGACCUCAAUGAAUUUGAACAGAAGGUCUGGAGAGGAAAGACUCCAUGUUUCCUCAGCUUCCCUCCCAGCUGCCCAUCAGAUUUUCAGGAGUGCUAUGAAAUAAGCUUUUUAUUUCUAUUACUAGUUCACAUCCAGUCCUGGGGGAGUUUGUGCCUUACGGAGAAAACACAUGGAGAUUUGGGAGCUGCUGGCUCUCACACAGGGCCCAUUAGCAGAUCUCAGGUCAUUUUCACAUGAAACAACCGCGUGAAAAGCCACCACUGCUGCUGGCUUUACUGGUUUAACACUGACUGGCUGUAGACUCUAAUUUGCCCUCUUGUUCCUUGGGGUGGGCUGGCAGGGUAGGAAAUUAAUGAGGCAGCCAGGAAGAGGUGGCACCACUUCUGUAUGUGUGCAGCUUCAGUCUACAAUGGUUUCAUUCCAGCACCUUUCCCUACAGUAAAUGCAGUGAAUAUUCUUAUUCCUGUUCUAAAAGCAGCACUAAAUGGGAUGGUUAAGCUGAGAAUAUUUUCCCAGCUCCUGGAAAGGGUUAGACACACAGCCCUGAGGUGGGCAAAGUGUGUGAUUGCCAUCAAACUAAGCAACCGUGCUCAGCUUGUCUUGGAUUUCUUUAUA
ensembl:lncRNA